rnacentral:rRNA from 1 species
AUUGAACGCUGGCGGCAGGCCUAACACAUGCAAGUCGAGCGGCAGCACAGUGCGUGCUUGUUCAUACAGCUGGCGACGGGCGGGCGGUUCCGGAGAAUAUGCCAGUUUGUUUUUUAUAAGGGGCGAACACGGGGACUAUUACGCUAUACCUCCUUACGACCUAAGGGUGGAAUCAUCGGAUCUUUCGCCCUUGCGCGAUCCUAUGUCGGAUUAGCUAGUUGGUGGGGUAAAGGCCUACCAAGGCGACGAUCCGUAACUGGUCUGAGAGGAUGAUCAGUCACACUGGAACUGAGACACGGUCCAGACUCCUACGGGAGGCAGCAGUGGGGAAUAUUGGACAAUGGGCGAAAGCCUGAUCCAGCCAUGCCGCGUGUGUGAAGAAGGCCUUCGGAUUGUAAAGCACUUUUAGUUGGGAAGAAAAGCAGUAAGUUAAUACCUCGCUGUUCUGACGGUACCAACAGAAUAAGCACCGGCUAACUUCGUG